rnacentral:rRNA from 1 species
CGGACGGGUGAGUAAUGCCUAGGAAUCUGCCUGGUAGUGGGGGAUAACGUUCGGAAACGGACGCUAAUACCGCAUACGUCCUACGGGAGAAAGCGGGGGAUCUUCGGACCUCGCGGCCAUUAGAUGAGCCUAGGUCGGAUUAGCUAGUUGGUGAGGUAAUGGCUCACCAAGGCGACGAUCCGUAACUGGUCUGAGAGGAUGAUCAGUCACACUGGAACUGAGACACGGUCCAGACUCCUACGGGAGGCAGCAGUGGGGAAUAUUGGACAAUGGGCGAAAGCCUGAUCCAGCCAUGCCGCGUGUGUGAAGAAGGUCUUCGGAUUGUAAAGCACUUUAAGUUGGGAGGAAGGGUAGUAACCUAAUACGUUGCUACUUUGACGUUACCGACAGAAUAAGCACCGGCUAACUUCGUG